AGGCCUAAUACAUGCAAGUCGAGCGCACCUUCGGGUGAGCGGCGGACGGGUGAGUAACGCGUGGGAACGUGCCCUUUGGUUCGGAACAACACAGGGAAACUUGUGCUAAUACCGAAUGUGCCCUUCGGGGGAAAGAUUUAUCGCCAUUGGAGCGGCCCGCGUUGGAUUAGCUAGUUGGUGGGGUAAAGGCCCACCAAGGCGACGAUCCAUAGCUGGUCUGAGAGGAUGAUCAGCCACACUGGGACUGAGACACGGCCCAGACUCCUACGGGAGGCAGCAGUAGGGAAUCUUGCGCAAUGGGCGAAAGCCUGACGCAGCCAUGCCGCGUGAAUGAUGAAGGUCUUAGGAUUGUAAAAUUCUUUCACCGGGGAAGAUAAUGACGGUACCCGGAGAAGAAGCCCCGGCUAACUUCGUGCCAGCAGCCGCGGUAAUACGAAGGGGGCUAGCGUUGCUCGGAAUUACUGGGCGUAAAGGGCGCGUAGGCGGACAGUUUAGUCAGAGGUGAAAGCCCAGGGCUCAACCUUGGAACUGCCUUUGAUACUGGCUGUCUUGAGUUCGGGAGAGGUGAGUGGAAUGCCGAGUGUAGAGGUGAAUUCGUAGAUAUUCGGCGGAACACCAGUGGCGAAGGCGACUCACUGGCCCGAUACUGACGCUGAGGCGCGA
rnacentral:rRNA from 1 species